rnacentral:rRNA from 1 species
AACGAACGCUGGCGGCAGGCUUAACACAUGCAAGUCGAACGCAUCGCAAGAUGAGUGGCAGACGGGUGAGUAACGCGUGGGAACAUACCCUUUUCUACGGAAUAGCUCUGGGAAACUGGAAUUAAUACCGUAUACGUCCUACGGGGGAAAGAUUUAUCGGGGAAGGAUUGGCCCGCGUUGGAUUAGCUAGUUGGUGGGGUAAAGGCCUACCAAGGCGACGAUACAUAGCUGGUCUGAGAGGAUGAUCAGCCAGAUUGGGACUGAGGCACGGCCCAAACUCCUACGGGAGGCAGCAGUGGGGAAUAUUGGACAAUGGGCGCAAGCCUGAUCCAGCCAUGCCGCGUGAGUGAUGAAGGCCUUAGGGUUGUAAAGCUCUUUCACCGAUGAAGAUAAUGACGGUAGUCGGAGAAGAAGCCCCGGCUAACUUCGUGCCAGCCGCGGCAGUAAUAC